rnacentral:rRNA from 1 species
GACGAACGCUGGCGGCGUGCUUAACACAUGCAAGUCGAACGAAGUGGCGAACGGGUGAGUAACGCGUAAUCAACCUGCCCUUCAGAGGGGGACAACAGUUGGAAACGACUGCUAAUACCGCAUACUGAAGGAGGGGAUUGCGUCUGAUUAGCUCGUUGGAGGGGUAACGGCCCACCAAGGGGAUGAUCAGUAGGCGGGCUGAGAGGAGGAAUGGACACCAUUGGACGUGGACACGGCCCAGACUCCUACGGGAGGCAGCAGUGGGGAAUCUUCCGCAAUGGACGAAAGUCUGACGGAGCAACGCCGCGGGAGGGAUGACGGCCUUCGUGUUGUAAAGCUCUGUUAAUCGGGACGCGGUACCGGAAUAGAAAGCCACGGCUAACUACGUGCCAGCAGCCGCGGUAAUUC